rnacentral:rRNA from 1 species
GCACCACAAGAGCGUGGAGUAUGUGGCUUAAUUUGACUCAACGCGGAAAAGCUUAUCUGGUCCGGACGCAGUGAGGAUUGACAGACAGUUUCAGGAGUGGUUCUUGGUAAACAAUUGAGAGAGUUGAAGUUCUUUCAUGAUCUUGUGAGAGGUGGUGCAUGGCCGUUCUUAGUUCGUGUAGUGAUAUGUCUGCCUAAUCGCGUCACGAUAACCUAUUGGUCGACAACCCAAUUAUCACAACUGCAGCAUAACUCCCCUUGGGUGGGCGAGGCUCUGUGUAGGAUAGACCUCUGAACAGUACGCAACGAACGCGAUCGUAAUCCCUUGUUGAGUGGCCAUCCUGUAAGCUGCUGGAUUAGGAACCCAGUGGUAUUAUCUCAGCCACAGAUUUUCUGGUUGUAAUGGGCCAGUUUU